rnacentral:snRNA from 1 species
ACUCGACAAAGUGAAGGGU